UUGGAGAGUUUGAUCCUGGCUCAGAACGAACGCUGGCGGCGUGCCUAACACAUGCAAGUCGAACGCGAAAGUCCUUCGGGAUGAGUAAAGUGGCGCACGGGUGAGUAACACGUAGGUGACCUG
rnacentral:rRNA from 1 species